UACGUAGGGUGCAAGCGUUGUCCGGAAUUAUUGGGCGUAAAGAGCUCGUAGGCGGUUUGUUGCGUCGGCUGUGAAAUCCCGAGGCUCAACCUCGGGUCUGCAGUCGAUACGAGCAAACUAGAGUGUUGCAGGGGAGACUGGAAUUCCUGGUGUAGCGGUGAAAUGCGCAGAUAUCAGGAGGAACACCGGUGGCGAAGGCGGGUCUCUGGGCAACAACUGACG
rnacentral:rRNA from 1 species